UACGGGGGGGGCAAGCGUUGUUCGGAAUUACUGGGCGUAAAGGGUUUGUAGGUGGCUUGCUAAGUCAGACGUGAAAUCCCUCAGCUUAACUGGGGAACUGCGUCUGAGACUGGCGAGCUUGAGUGCAGGAGAGGAACGCGGAAUUCCAGGUGUAGCGGUGAAAUGCGUAGAUAUCUGGAGGAACACCGGUGGCGAAGGCGGCGUUCUGGACUGCAACUGACACUGAGGUGCGAAAGCGUGGGGAGCAAACAGG
rnacentral:rRNA from 1 species